CACGUAGGGUGCGAGCGUUGUCCGGAAUUAUUGGGCGUAAAGAGCUCGUGGGCGGUGUGUCGCGUCGGCCGUGAAAACCUGCAGCUUAACUGUGGGCUUGCGGUCGAUACGGGCAUCACUGGAGUUCGGCAGGGGAGACUGGAAUUCCUGGUGUAGCGGUGAAAUGCGCAGAUAUCAGGAGGAACACCGGUGGCGAAGGCGGCGACCUGGGUCGAGACUGACGCUGAGGCGCGAAAGCGUGGGGAGCAAACAGG
rnacentral:rRNA from 1 species